rnacentral:rRNA from 1 species
UACGAAGGGGGCUAGCGUUGCUCGGAAUCACUGGGCGUAAAGCGCACGUAGGCGGACUCUUAAGUCGGUGGUGAAAUCCUGGAGCUCAACUCCAGAACUGCCUUCGAUACUGAGAGUCUCGAGUCCGGGAGAGGCGAGUGGAACUGCGAGUGUAGAGGUGAAAUGCGUAGAGAUGUGGAGGAAUACCGAUGGCGAAGGCAGCCUCCUGGGCCAACACUGACGCUCAUGCACGAAAGCGUGGGGAGCAAACAGG